rnacentral:snRNA from 1 species
AUUAAAGCUCACCGGUGGGGCUG